rnacentral:rRNA from 1 species
GAUGAACGCUGGCGGCGUGCCUAAUACAUGCAAGUCGAGCGAAAAGACGAGGAGCUUGCUCUUCUGCCGUUAGCGGCGGACGGGUGAGUAACACGUGGAUAACCUACUUAUAAGACUGGGAUAACUUCGGGAAACCGGUGCUACUACCGGAUAAUAUAUUGAACCGCAUGGUUCAAUAGUGAAAGACGGUUUUGCUGUCACUUAUAGAUGGAUCCGCGCCGCAUUAGCUAGUUGGUAAGGUAACGGCUUACCAAGGCAACGAUGCGUAGCCGACCUGAGAGGGUGAUCGGCCACACUGGAACUGAGACACGGUCCAGACUCCUACGGGAGGCAGCAGUAGGGAAUCUUCCACAAUGGGCGAAAGCCUGACGGAGCAACGCCGCGUGAGUGAUGAAGGUCUUCGGAUCGUAAAACUCUGUUAUUAGGGAAGAACAAAUGUGUAAGUAACUAUGCACGUCUUGACGGUACCUAAUCAGAAAGCCACGGCUAACUACGUG